rnacentral:rRNA from 1 species
CUAACACAUGCAAGUCGAGCGGUAGCACAGAGAGCUUGCUCUCGGGUGACGAGCGGCGGACGGGUGAGUAAUGUCUGGGAAACUGCCUGAUGGAGGGGGAUAACUACUGGAAACGGUAGCUAAUACCGCAUAACGUCGCAAGACCAAAGUGGGGGACCUUCGGGCCUCAUGCCAUCAGAUGUGCCCAGAUGGGAUUAGCUGGUAGGUGGGGUAACGGCUCACCUAGGCGACGAUCCCUAGCUGGUCUGAGAGGAUGACCAGCCACACUGGAACUGAGACACGGUCCAGACUCCUACGGGAGGCAGCAGUGGGGAAUAUUGCACAAUGGGCGCAAGCCUGAUGCAGCCAUGCCGCGUGUGUGAAGAAGGCCUUCGGGUUGUAAAGCACUUUCAGCGGGGAGGAAGGCGGUGAGGUUAAUAACCUUGUCGAUUGACGUUACCCGCAGAAGAAGCACCGGCUAACUCCGUGCCAGCAGCCGCGGUAAUACGGAGGGUGCAAGCGUUAAUCGGAAUUACUGGGCGUAAAGCGCACGCAGGCGGUCUGUCAAGUCGGAUGUGAAAUCCCCGGGCUCAACCUGGGAACUGCAUUCGAAACUGGCAGGCUAGAGUCUUGUAGAGGGGGGUAGAAUUCCAGGUGUAGCGGUGAAAUGCGUAGAGAUCUGGAGGAAUACCGGUGGCGAAGGCGGCCCCCUGGACAAAGACUGACGCUCAGGUGCGAAAGCGUGGGGAGCAAACAGGAUUAGAUACCCUGGUAGUCCACGCUGUAAACGAUGUCGAUUUGGAGGUUGUGCCCUUGAGGCGUGGCUUCCGGAGCUAACGCGUUAAAUCGACCGCCUGGGGAGUACGGCCGCAAGGUUAAAACUCAAAUGAAUUGACGGGGGCCCGCACAAGCGGUGGAGCAUGUGGUUUAAUUCGAUGCAACGCGAAGAACCUUACCUGGUCUUGACAUCCACAGAACUUUCCAGAGAUGGAUUGGUGCCUUCGGGAACUGUGAGACAGGUGCUGCAUGGCUGUCGUCAGCUCGUGUUGUGAAAUGUUGGGUUAAGUCCCGCAACGAGCGCAACCCUUAUCCUUUGUUGCCAGCGGUUAGGCCGGGAACUCAAAGGAGACUGCCAGUGAUAAACUGGAGGAAGGUGGGGAUGACGUCAAGUCAUCAUGGCCCUUACGACCAGGGCUACACACGUGCUACAAUGGCAUAUACAAAGAGAAGCGACCUCGCGAGAGCAAGCGGACCUCAUAAAGUAUGUCGUAGUCCGGAUUGGAGUCUGCAACUCGACUCCAUGAAGUCGGAAUCGCUAGUAAUCGUAGAUCAGAAUGCUACGGUGAAUACGUUCCCGGGCCUUGUACACACCGCCCGUCACACCAUGGGAGUGGGUUGCAAAAGAAGUAGGUAGCUUAACCUUCGGGAGGGCGCUUACCA